UUCCGGCCUGAAAGGUAACUA
rnacentral:piRNA from 1 species